GUUUCCCAGAUUUGGUUCCGUAUCUCGGUCUUCCUUUACUAUUAUCACUUCUCUCUCAGAUAUCUUACAACAUCUGAGUUUUUACUCCAAAACGAAUGAAAAUCUAAAUUGUAGACUCUCUUCAUCUUCUCUCUUACUCAGAUUCAUCAUUGAAACCCUAAGUUUUUUACAUCAUAACUAACUUGAAAUCAUUUGUUACUCCAUGAAAACUCUGUCACUGUGUACAUCGAUGGAAGACUUUAAUCUGCCAACUCCAAUUGCAAUCUGAAAAUACUGUUGGUAAUGAAAGAGCAGAUCAAGUGAGAUCCAAUCAGAUGUUCUAUGAACUUUUAGAUCUAAAUCAAAGGUUUUUUGGGUUUAAUGAUUAAGCUACAGAACCAGAUGGUGAAGGAGGAGUAAUUAGUAGUCUUAGAGAUCGAAAACUAAGAGGUUAAAGGAUAUCUUGUCUAUCUGUAAGGAGAAUUCUAAGAAGUACAGUUUGGAUGGCGGUGAAACGGAUUGGAUGAACAGAUUCAACAACUUCAUGAGAAACAAAUUCUAAGGGCUUAUGACUGAAGAGUUGAGAAAUUUUUUGGAGUUUUACCUAAAGUUUAGUUGUUGAGCCAAAGAUUAAUUGGGUCAGAUAUCUUUGAAGAAACUAAGAUUCCCUGCCAAAGCAAUUAACUUACUUUUGAACCUCAAUGCGGUGUCCGCUUCUGAAUUUGAUGUCAUGUUUCCAGUUAAUCUAGUGACACUGGGUAGCUAAAACGUCCGGUUAAUCUAUUUGUACUGCAUUUUACUUGCUUUUUCUAAAGUUAAUUUAUGAUAUUGCAUAUUUUUUGUAAUUAUUAUUUGAGAUUUGAGCCAGUUAUCUAUUGUUGAUCCAGGAUGGUUCGCCUUAUUUAAAAAAUCCAAUUUUAAACCUGUUAGGCUUAUAAUAUCCUACGCACUUGCAUCUGGAAAAGGAGCAGAAUGCAAACUCAGAAAGCAAAUGUGAAGUUGCUCAAGCACUAAUACCGCCAUUGUUCGACAUUUGUUAAGGUAAUGUUAUGAGGAGAGAUAGUCUAUUAAUACAUGAGGAACCUGGCAAAUGGUUUCGUCUCGUAUAAGAUUUAUGAGAACAGUGCGUGCUUUUAAAAAUGUAUUCACCGAUUUUUAUAGAUGUAACAAACUAAACAAUAGCUACCAUCUUAUCUAGUACAGUGCGUCCUUCAUUUAUCCAAAUAGAAUACUUAGUUUUGUGUAUAUGAAUUUGGCUCGCAGAUUUUAUAUCUUUGGAGGACUGGUUACAGUAUUUGAUAGGAAUAAUUUUACUAAAACUAUAUGAGAACAUUAGCUACCAUGCAGGUUACUCAUUUUGAUACUUUUGUAGGUAAGCAUGAACUUCACUUGCUUUACUUUUACCAGUUGUUGAUCUGCAGAACGCUCACUAGCUUUGGUGUGAUUCCGAUGAUGACGGGGAUAAGCUAUAACAUUAACUAGUUGGCAUCUAAUGGUUACAUUUUGCACACUUCAUGUGGCACAAAGAUUCAAUGUUUUUUGAGACCAAGGCAAUUGAUACCCAAAUUGUAAUGCUAUUGGGUAUCAUAAAUGGCGUGUCUACUGGACUUCUCAAUUUAUGUCUUGGGUUCAAUUCCACUGGAUUCUACCACGUUAACUAUUUUGAUUUUAUCUUAUGAUCAUUUUUAAGAGAAUUUAGGAUCUGAUUAGUUUAGUUUGGUUGUAGUAGUGAAAAUUUAAUCCGGAUGAAAUGAUUUUUCUGUACAGACGACGAAACUUGCAAGAUACCCUUUACAGUACUGUCGGGUACCAUGUUUCUUAACAAGGUAUGCGGUUCUGAGUUGCGCGGCUCAGUUCUUCAUCAGAUAGUUUAUCAUUUUGUUAGUUUGUACUUAUCUUUUAAGAAAACUUAGAACUUGUAUUGGUGCACAUUUUGUUAGUUUGUACUUAUCUUUAAGAAAAUUUAGAACUUGUAUUGGUGUUGAUUCAGGUUUUGUUUACAGUUUUUGGUUAUUCUGAAUCCACGCUAUGAUCAGUGUGUUGUUCGUAUAAUGAAUUCUAAUCUUAAUUGAAUGGGAAUGAUUUACUUAAGAA